GACGAACCGUGCGAACGUUAUUCGGAAUCACUGGGCUUAAAGCGCGUGUAGGCGGGAGGGCACGUCCGUCGCUGAAAUCCCCCGGCUCAACCGGGGAACGGGCACGGAUACGACCUUCCUGGAGGGGCGUAGGGGGACCUGGAACUUCCGGUGGAGCGGUGAAAUGCGUUGAUAUCAAGUGGAACACCAGUGGCGAAGGCGGCCAGCUGGGCCGUUGCUGACGCUGAGGCGCGACAGCGUGGGGAGCAAACAGG
rnacentral:rRNA from 1 species